rnacentral:rRNA from 1 species
UACGUAGGGUGCGAGCGUUAAUCGGAAUUACUGGGCGUAAAGCGUGCGCAGGCGGUCUGUUAAGACAGAUGUGAAAUCCCCGGGCUUAACCUGGGAACUGCAUUUGUGACUGGCAGGCUAGAGUAUGGCAGAGGGGGGUAGAAUUCCACGUGUAGCAGUGAAAUGCGUAGAGAUGUGGAGGAAUACCGAUGGCGAAGGCAGCCCCCCUGGGCCAAUACUGACGCUCAUGCACGAAAGCGUGGGGAGCAACAGG